AGAGUUUGAUCCUGGCUCAGAUUGAACGCUGGCGGCAUGCCUUACACAUGCAAGUCGAACGGCAGCGCGGGUGCUUGCACCUGGCGGCGAGUGGCGAACGGGUGAGUAAUACAUCGGAACGUGCCCUAGAGUGGGGGAUAACUAGUCGAAAGAUUAGCAAAUACCGCAUACGAUCUACGGAUGAAAGUGGGGGACCGCAAGGCCUCAUGCUCCUGGAGCGGCCGAUGUCUGAUUAGCUAGUUGGUGGGGUAAUGGCCUACCAAGGCGACGAUCAGUAGCUGGUCUGAGAGGACGACCAGCCACACUGGGACCGAGACACGGCCCAGACUCCUACGGGAGGCAGCAGUGGGGAAUUUUGGACAAUGGGGGAAACCCUGAUCCAGCAAUGCCGCGUGUGUGAAGAAGGCCUUCGGGUUGUAAAGCACUUUUGUCAGGAACGAAACGGUGGGAGCUAAUACCUCCUGCUAAUGACGGUACCUGAAGAAUAAGCACCGGCUAACUACGUGCCAGCAGCCGCGGUAAUACGUAGGGUGCGAGCGUUAAUCGGAAUUACUGGGCGUAAAGCGUGCGCAGGCGGUUGUGCAAGACAGAUGUGAAAUCCCCGGGCUCAACCUGGGAAUGGCAUUUGUGACUGCACGGCUAGAGUGUGUCAGAGGGGGGUAGAAUUCCACGUGUAGCAGUGAAAUGCGUAGAUAUGUGGAGGAAUACCGAUGGCGAAGGCAGCCC
rnacentral:rRNA from 1 species